ensembl:lncRNA
CACCAUGGCAUCACCAUGAUGGCCUCACCACCAUGGCAUCACCUCAAUGGCAUCACCAUGAUGGCCUCACCACCAUGGCAUCACCUCCAUGGCAUCACCAUGAUCAUGGUAUCACCCCAAUGACAUCACUGUGAUGGCCUCACCAUCAUGGCAUCACCGCGAUGGCAUCACCAUGAUGGCAUCGCCACCAUGGCAUCAUCACCAUGGCAUCACCAUGAUGGUCUCACCACAAUGGCAUCACCACCAUGGCAUCACCAUGAUGGCAUCACCACCAUGACAUCACCACGAUGGCAUCACCACCAUGGCCUCACCAUGAUGGUCUCACUGCCAUGGCACCACCAUGAUGGCAUCACCACCACGGCAUCUCCACGCUGCCCAGGCCGGCACCCCCGGGGCUCUGUGUGUGGGGAAACCCCAACACCACGACCGUCCCGGCUGGGGCUGCCCGGGGGUGGGCACGGGGCUGCUGCCAGCCUGCCCGGGUGGGCAGGGGGCUCCAGAACCUCUGCCCGGAGCCGCUCCUGCCUCAUGGGGAGCCCUGGCAGCACUCCUGGCUCUUCUCACAUGGGAAUGGAGAGCGGCACCGCCGGCAGCUGCAGCCGAGCGCGACUUUCCCAGCGGACCUGCCUGCCUGGGAACGCAGAGCAGCAGACAGACAGGUUCCUGGAAAGGGCCGGGCCUGCUGGAUCCCAAAUUUGGGAUGCUGGUGCCCAGCCAAGCCCGCCUGCCAGUCCUGACCAUCCCGUGGGGCAUCUCCAGGCACCUGAAUGCCCACAGGACCCCGGCUUGUGCAGCUGGAAAUGGGCAAUGGCGACCCCCAGCUCCUCGAGGGUCCGGGGCUGCUCCCUGAGGAGCCUUAAGUCUGAUAUUUGCGCUCCUGAGGAGAAAUGGGAAGUUUGGAUAUUUGAGCUCAUCUCAGGGAUGCACAGGGUGGGGUUUUGGCAUCCGCCAAAUCGACCCGCGAGUCCCGCCAGCCCUCGGGGAGCCCCGCGAUCAAUGAUUUCUCUCAUCUUAUCUCCCCGGCUUUCCCUUGUGCGCCCUCCCCUCGCUGCCUCCCCCUCCUUUGCAGCCAGCCCCGCUUCCCCUCCAGCCCCGGCUUUGAUCCCGGGAAGCAGCAAUUGAUCCUCCUUAUCUUUAUUGUGGGACAGACAUUCCCGGCACUGCCCUUAAUUAAAUUCCUCCUCAUUUUCCCCCCCGCGAGCCUCUCCCCCCUCCGCAAACCCAGGCGAGGAUUUGUUUUUAAAGCUGCAAUUAAAGGAUGAGAUUUGGCCACGAGUGGGACCCGUGCUGGGGGCAAGCUCGGGGCUGCCGGGGCCACACGAGCUCGGGGGGCUGCUGGUCACCCUGCGGGGCUGGCACCGCUCACAGUGGCCAUGGUGGCACUGGCACUGGUCACAGUGACACGGGGAUGGCCCACAGUGGCACUGGCACUGGCCAGGGUGGCACAGGCACAACUCCUGGUGGCAUUGGCAUUGGUCACAGUGACAGGGGGAUGGCCCACAGUGGCACAGGCACUGGCCAGGGUGGCAUUGGCACUGGCCAUGGUGGCACUGGCACUGGCCAUGGUGGCACUGGCACUUGUCACAGCAACAUGGGGAGGUCACACUGUAGCCCAAGCACUGGCUAUGGUAGCACAGGCACAAAUCGUGGUGGCACUGGCCCUGGUCAUGGUGGCAUUGGCACUUGCCAUAGGGGGAAUUUGCAUCUGCCGUGGUCACAGUGACAUGGGGAUGGCCCACAGUGGCACAGGCACUGGCCAGGGUGGCACAGNNNNNNNNNNCAUGGGGAUGGCCCACAGUGGCACAGGCACUGGCCAGGGUGGCACAGGUCACCUGCCAUGGUGACACUGGCAUUGUUCACAGCGACAUGGGGAUGGCCCACAGUGGCACAUGCACCUGCCGUGGUGGCCCUGGCCACGCCAGGUGGCCACGGUGCCGUGGCUGUGGCCACUUUGAGCUUUUCCGCUCGGAAACGUCUCCCGCAGACGCUGACCCGCAGGGCAGGGAGCGUUUCUCAUGUGGAACAGCCCAAAUUCCCCCGGAGACAGCGCAGGAAUGCGAGGCACGUUACCCUCGGUACCAGCUCUCGCUUCUUACGGCCUAAGCUCCGCCACGCCGCCGGG